rnacentral:rRNA from 1 species
GGAUCCCUACGGGGCGCAGCAGUGAGGAAUAUUGGUCAAUGGUCGGGAGACUGAACCAGCCAAGCCGCGUGAGGGAGGAAGGUACAGAGUAUCGUAAACCUCUUUUGUCAGGGAACAAAGGCGGGGACGUGUCCCCGGAUGAGUGUACCUGAAGAAAAAGCAUCGGCUAACUCCGUGCCAGCAGCCGCGGUAAUACGUAGGUGGCAAGCGUUAUCCGGAUUUAUUGGGCGUAAAGGGAACGCAGGCGGUCUUUUAAGUCUGAUGUGAAAUCCUUCGGCUUAACCGGAGCAG